UACAGCCACAUCAGGUUGAAACACUGGUUCCCAUAGGACCACUCAAGUUAAACAACAUUGAGCCUGGCUAGUAUCUAAAUGGUUGACCACUUGGGAAUGUGAGGUGUUGUAAG